GAACGGGUGAGUNACNCGUGGGUAACCUNCCUCUUAGCNGGGGAUAACAUUUGGAAACAAGUGCUNAUACCGUAUAAUACCAACAACCGCNNNGUNNUGUNGAAAGAUGGUUCUGCUAUCACUAAGAGAUGGACCCGCGGUGCAUUAGCUAGUUGGUAAGGUAACGGCUNACCAAGGCAAUGAUGCAUAGCCGAGUUGAGAGACUNAUCGGCCACNAUGGGACUNAGACACGGCCCNUNCUCCUACGGGAGGCUGCUGUNGGGAAUCUUCCACNAUGGGCGCAAGCCUNAUGGAGCAACGCCGCGUGUGUGAUGAAGGGUUUCGGCUCGUAAAACNCUGUUAUAAGAGAAGAACGGCACUGAGAGUAACUGUUCAGUGUGUGACGGUAUCUUACCAGAAAGGAACGGCUNAAUACGUGCCAGCAGCCGCGGUNAUACGUAUGUUCCNAGCGUUAUCCGGAUUUAUUGGGCGUNAAGCGAGCGCAGACGGUUNUUUAAGUCUNAAGUGAAAGCCCUCAGCUCAACUGAGGAAUGGCUUUGGAAACUGGAUGACUNGAGUGCAGUAGAGGAAAGUGGAACUCCAUGUGUAGCGGUGAAAUGCGUAGAUAUAUGGAAGAACACCAGUGGCGAAGGCGGCUNUCUNGACUGUAACUGACGUUGAGGCUCGAAAGUGUGGGUAGCAAACAGGAUUAGAUACCCUNGUAGUCCACACCGUAAACGAUGAGUGCUAGAUGUUCGAGGGUUUCCGCCCUNGAGUGUCGCACUAACGCAUUAAGCACUCCGCCUGGGGAGUACGACCGCAAGGUUGAAACUCAAAGGAAUUGACGGGGACCGCACAAGCGGUNGAGCAUGUNGUUUAAUUCGAAGCAACGCGAAGAACCUUACCAGGUCUUGACAUCCCUNGCUNAUCCUAGAAAUAGGACGGUUCUUCGGGGACAAGGUGACNGGUGGUGCNUGGUUGUCGUCNGCUCGUGUCGUGAGAUGUUGGGUUAAGUCCCGCAACGAGCGCNACCCUUNUUNUUAGUUGCCAGCAUUCAGUUGGGCACUCUAGUGAGACUGCCGGUGACAAACCGGAGGAAGGUGGGGAUGACGUCAAAUCAUCAUGCCCCUUAUGACCUNGGCUACACACGUGCUACAAUGGCAUAUACNACGAGUCGCCAACCCGCGAGGGUGCGCUAAUCUCUUAAAGUAUGUCUCAGUUCGGAUUGUAGGCUGCAACUCGCCUGCAUCAAGUCGGAAUCGCUAGUAAUCGCGGAUCAGCACGCCGCGGUGAAUACGUUCCCGGGUCUUGUACACACCGCCCGUCACACCAUGAGAGUUUGUAACACCCAA
rnacentral:rRNA from 1 species